rnacentral:rRNA from 1 species
AUUGAACGCUGGCGGCAGGCCUAACACAUGCAAGUCGAGCGGAACGGCGGACGGGUGGGUAAUGCAUAUGAGUGUGCCUGGUAGUGGGGGGUAACGUCCGGAAGCGGACGCUAAUACCUCAUGCUAGCAGAUGGACCUAGCGUGGAUGAGCUAGUUGGUGGGGUAAAGGCCUACCAAGGCGACGAUCCGUAACUGGUCUGAGAGGAGGAACAGUCACACUGGAACUGAGACACGGCCCAGACUCCUACGGGAGGCAGCAGUGGGGAAUAUUGGACAAUGGGCGCAAGCCUGAUACAGCCAUGCCGCGUGUGUGAAGAAGGUCUUCGGAUUGUAAAGCACUUUAAGUCGGGAGGCGUUACCAACAGAAGAAGCACCGGCUAACUCCGUGCCAGCAGCCGCGGUAAUUC